rnacentral:tRNA from 1 species
GGGGAUGUGGCUCAUUGGUAGAGCACUUGCCUUGCAUGUGUGAGGCACUGGGUUCGAUCCUCAGCACCA